AUUGAACGCUGGCGGCAGGCCUAACACAUGCAAGUCGAGCGGAUGAAGGGAGCUUGCUCCUGGAUUCAGCGGCGGACGGGUGAGUAAUGCCUAGGAAUCUGCCUGGUAGUGGGGGAUAACGUCCGGAAACGGGCGCUAAUACCGCAUACGUCCUGAGGGAGAAAGUGGGGGAUCUUCGGACCUCACGCUAUCAGAUGAGCCUAGGUCGGAUUAGCUAGUUGGUGGGGUAAAGGCCUACCAAGGCGACGAUCCGUAACUGGUCUGAGAGGAUGAUCAGUCACACUGGAACUGAGACACGGUCCAGAAUCCUAAGGGAGGCAACAGUGGGGAAUAUUGGACAAAGGGCGAAAGCCUGAUCCAGCCAUGCCGCGUGAGUGAAGAAGGUCUUCGGAUUGUAAAGCACUUUAAGUUGGGAGGAAGGGCAGUAAGUUAAUACCUUGCUGUUUUGACGUUACCAACAGAAUAAGCACCGGCUAACUUCGUG
rnacentral:rRNA from 1 species